rnacentral:rRNA from 1 species
GACGAACGCUGGCGGCGUGCUUAACACAUGCAAGUCGAACGAUGAAGCCGGAGCUUGCUAUGGUGAAUUAGUGGCGAACGGGUGAGUAACACGUGAGUAACCUGCCCUUGACUCUGGGAUAACUGCUAGAAAUCGGUGCUAAUACCGGAUAUGACCCUUGGCGGCAUCGCUGGGGGUGGAAAGUUUUUCGGUCAAGGAUGAGCUCGCGGCCUAUCAGCUUGUUGGUGAGGUAAUGGCUCACCAAGGCGACGACGGGUAGCCGGCCUGAGAGGGUGACCGGCCACACUGGGACUGAGACACGGCCCAGACUCCUACGGGAGGCAGCAGUGGGGAAUAUUGCACAAUGGGCGCAAGCCUGAUGCAGCAACGCCGCGUGGGGGAUGACGGCCUUCGGGUUGUAAACCUCUUUUAGCAGGGAAGAAGCGAAAGUGACGGUACCUGCAGAAAAAGCACCGGCUAACUUCGUGCCAGCAGCCGCCGUAA